CCUACGGGCGGCAGCAGUGGGGAAUAUUGGACAAUGGGCGAAAGCCUGAUCCAGCCAUGCCGCGUGUGUGAAGAAGGCCUUCGGGUUGUAAAGCACUUUCAGUGGGGAAGAAAGCCUUGGGGCUAAUACCCUCGAGGAAGGACAUCACCCACAGAAGAAGCACCGGCUAACUCCGUGCCAGCAGCCGCGGUAAUACGGAGGGUGCGAGCGUUAAUCGGAAUUACUGGGCGUAAAGCGCGCGUAGGCGGUCUGAUAAGCCGGUUGUGAAAGCCCCGGGCUCAACCUGGGAAUGGCAUCCGGAACUGUCAGGCUAGAGUGCAGGAGAGGAAGGUAGAAUUCCCGGUGUAGCGGUGAAAUGCGUAGAGAUCGGGAGGAAUACCAGUGGCGAAGGCGGCCUUCUGGACUGACACUGACGCUGAGGUGCGAAAGCGUGGGUAGCAAACAGGAUUAGAUACCCUAGUAGUC
rnacentral:rRNA from 1 species